rnacentral:rRNA from 1 species
AACGAACACUGGCGGCGUGGAUUAGGCAUGCAAGUCGAACGAGAAAGUUCUCUUCGGAGAGCGAGUACAGUGGCGAACGGGUGAGUAACGGGUGGAAAACCUGCCCUUCAAUGGGGGAUAACGGUUCUAACGAGCCGCUAAUACCGCAUACGACCUUUGGAUCGCAUGGUCCGAAGGUGAAAGGUGGCCUCUCUUUGAAGCUGCCGUUGAAGGAUGGUUCCGCCUCCCAUUAGCUUGUUGGUGGGGUAAUGGCCUACCAAGGCGACGAUGGGUAGCCGGCCUGAGAGGGUGUCCGGCCACACUGGGACUGAGAUACGGCCCAGACUCCUACGGGAGGCAGCAGUCGAGAAGCUUCCGCAAUGGGCGAAAGCCUGACGGAGCGACGCCGCGUGAGUGAAGAAGGCCCUAUGGGUUGUAAAACUCUGUCAGAUUGGGAAGAACGUACUGCGGUUAAUACCCGCGGUGCUUGACGGUACCAUCAGAGGAAGCACCGGCUAACUCCGUGCCAGCAGCCGACGG